CCUUUGAUAGCUCAGCUGGUAGAGCGGAGGACUGUAGAGGUACAGCCUAAGCCCAUGGGGAUCCUUAGGUCGCUGGUUCGAUUCCGGCUCAAAGGA
rfam:Alligator mississippiensis ScZkoYb_35, whole genome shotgun sequence.